rnacentral:rRNA from 1 species
AGUGAACGCUGGCGGUAGGCCUAACACAUGCAAGUCGAACGGCAGCACAGUAAGAGCUUGCUCUUACGGGUGGCGAGUGGCGGACGGGUGAGGAAUACAUCGGAAUCUACUUUUUCGUGGGGGAUAACGUAGGGAAACUUACGCUAAUACCGCAUACGACCUACGGGUGAAAGCAGGGGAUCUUCGGACCUUGCGCGAUUGAAUGAGCCGAUGUCGGAUUAGCUAGUUGGCGGGGUAAAGGCCCACCAAGGCGACGAUCCGUAGCUGGUCUGAGAGGAUGAUCAGCCACACGGGAACUGAGACACGGUCCAGACUCCUACGGGAGGCAGCAGUGGGGAAUAGUGGACAAUGGGCGCAAGCCUGAUACAGCCAUACCGCGUGGGUGAAGAAGGCCUUCGGGUUGUAAAGCCCUUUUGUUGGGAAAGAAAAGCAGCAGGUUAAUACCCCGCUGUUCUGACGGUACCCAAAGAAUAAGCACCGGCUAACUUCGUG